GAUGAACGCUGGCGGCGUGCCUAAUACAUGCAAGUCGAGCGAAUGGAUUAAGAGCUUACCCUUAUGAAGUUAGCGGCGGACGGGUGAGUAACACGUGGGUAACCUGCCCAUAAGACUGGGAUAACUCCGGGAAACCGGGGCUAAUACCGGAUAACAUUUUGAACCGCAUGGUUCGAAAUUGAAAGGCGGCUUCGGCUGUCACUUAUGGAUGGACCCGCGUCGCAUUAGCUAGUUGGUGAGGUAACGGCUCACCAAGGCAACGAUGCGUAGCCGACCUGAGAGGGUGAUCGGCCACACUGGGACUGAGACACGGCCCAGACUCCUACGGGAGGCAGCAGUAGGGAAUCUUCCGCAAUGGACGAAAGUCUGACGGAGCAACGCCGCGUGAGUGAUGAAGGCUUUCGGGUCGUAAAACUCUGUUGUUAGGGAAGAACAAGUGCUAGUUGAAUAAGCUGACACCUUGACGGUACCUAACCAGAAAGCCACGGCUAACUACGUGCCAGCCGCCGCCGUAA
rnacentral:rRNA from 1 species